rnacentral:rRNA from 1 species
AUUGAACGCUGGCGGCAGGCUUAACACAUGCAAGUCGAGCGGGGGAAGGUAGCUUGCUACCGGACCUAGCGGCGGACGGGUGAGUAAUGCUUAGGAAUCUGCCUAUUAGUGGGGGACAACAUCUCGAAAGGGAUGCUAAUACCGCAUACGUCCUACGGGAGAAAGCAGGGGAUCUUCGGACCUUGCGCUAAUAGAUGAGCCUAAGUCGGAUUAGCUAGUUGGUGGGGUAAGGGCCUACCAAGGCGACGAUCUGUAGCGGGUCUGGGAGGGUGAUCCGCCACACUGGGACUGAUACACGGCCCAGACUCCUACGGGAGGCAGCAGUGGGGAAUAUUGGACAAUGGGGGGAACCCUGAUCCAGCCAUGCCGCGUGUGUGAAGAAGGCCUUAUGGUUGUAAAGCACUUUAAGCGAGGAGGAGGCUACUUUAGUUAAUACCUAGGGAUAGUGGACGUUACUCGCAGAAUAAGCACCGGCUAACUCUGUGCCAGCCGCCGCCGUAA